rnacentral:rRNA from 1 species
AGCAGCCGCGGUAAUUCCAGCUCCAAUAGCGUAUAUUAAAGUUGUUGCAGUUAAAAAGCUCGUAGUUGAAUUUCGGAAUCAAUAUAUCGGUCGUGCCUUGGUACGUACUGGUAUCAUUGGUUUCUCCUUUCUGACGAACCAUGAUGUCAUUAAUUUGGUGUUAUGGGAAGUUAGGACUGUUACUUUGAAAAAAUUAGAGUGUUUAAAGCAGGCUUUAGCUUGAAUACAUUAGCAUGGAAUAAUGAAAUAGGACGUUCGAACCUAUUUUGUUGGUUUCUAGGAUCAACGUAAUGAUUAAUAGGGAUAGUUGGGGGCAUUAGUAUUCAAUUGUCAGAGGUGAAAUUCUUGGAUUUAUUGAAGACUAACUACUGCGAAAGCAUUUGCCAAGGAUGUUUCAUUAAUCAAGAACGAAAGUUAGGGGAUCGAAGACGAUCAGAUACCGUCGUAGUCUUAACCAUAAACUAUGCCGACUAGGGAUCGGAUGAUGUUAAUUUUUAAUGACUCAUUCGGCGCCUUACGG